AGACACUGGCUUAAUACAGAACAUCGCCCCGCUUACAGGGUCUCUUGCAACUGCGUCGGCCUUAGGCUGGAAAAUGCAGGUUCCUGUUUCUGCGCUUUUUAAACUAGCCGAUACCGAGAGCCAGCCAACUCUAGCUAAAAACGAAACUCAAGCCAGGCGGGGUGGCGCGCGCCUGUAGUUCCAGAUACUCAGGAAGGUGAAGGGGUAGGAUCCCUUGAGUCCAGGAGUUCGAGACUGCAGUGAGCCAUGGUUGUGCCACUGUACUCCAACCUGCGCAACAUAGUGAGACCCUGUCUCUUUAAAUUAGACAUAAAAUAAACACUGCUUUAACGAAGGCAUCUGUUAUAUGUGACACUGAGCUUAGAAACCCAAAGGCCCCUUUCCGAGUUCAAGGAGUAGAGAUUGGAACUCUUGCCUCUUUUCCCAGAGCCAGAAAUAUGCAGUUACACUGCAGAGGCAUCAGUUAAGUGACUUUUUUUUUUUUUUUUUUUUUUUUUGAGAAAGGAACUGGGGCCUCAGAACUACCUCUCCAGACCCCAUUCCCCAACCCAACCUUGGAGGACAGCAGUUCAGUCCUCCAAGCGGAGUGCUUGGCUCAUUGCAACCUCCGCUUUCUGGACUCAAGUGAUCCUCCACCUCGGCCCCCCAGGUAGCUGGGA
rnacentral:lncRNA from 1 species